AGCGAACGUUGGCGGCGUGGAUUAGGCAUGCAAGUCGCGGGAAUCCCAGCAAUGGGGGAACCGGCGUAAGGGGCAGUAAGGCGUGGGUACCUACCUUGGGAUCCGGGAUAGCCGUCCGAGAGGGCGGGUAAUACCGGAUGAUCUCGAGAGAGCAAAGCUCCGGCGUCCCGAGAGGGGCCCACGUGAUAUUAGCUAGUUGGCGGGGUGACGGCCCACCAAGGCGGAGAUGUCUAGCGGGUGUGAGAGCACGACCCGCGCCACUCGCACUGAGACACUGGCGAGACACCUACGGGUGGCUGGAGUGGAGGAUCUUCGGCAAUGCGCGCAAGCGCGGCCGGGCGACGCCGCGUGGGCGAUGAAGGCCUUCGGGUUGUAAAGCCCUGUCGAGGGGGAGAAAAGCGGGAAACCGUGUGAUCUAUCCCUGGAGGAAGCUCGGGCUAAGUUCGUGCCAGCAGCCGCAGUAACAC
rnacentral:rRNA from 1 species